rnacentral:rRNA from 1 species
UACGUAGGGUGCAAGCGUUAAUCGGAAUUACUGGGCGUAAAGCGUGCGCAGGCGGUCGUGUGAGACAGGUGUGAAAUCCCCGGGCUUAACCUGGGAACUGCAUUUGUGACUGCACGGCUGGAGUGCGGCAGAGGGGGAUGGAAUUCCGCGUGUAGCAGUGAAAUGCGUAGAUAUGCGGAGGAACACCGAUGGCGAAGGCAAUCCCCUGGGCCUGCACUGACGCUCAUGCACGAAAGCGUGGGGAGCAAACAGG